ACACUUUGUCACCAACUGCUGCCGACCUCGCCACCACUGCUUUGUCUCUGAGGUCAGAGUGCUCCUGGUGCCAUGAACGGAGACGACGCCUUUGCAAAGAGACCCAGGGAUGAUGCUAAAGCAUCAGAGAAGAGAAGCAAGGCCUUCGAUGAUAUUGCCAAAUACUUCUCUAAGGAAGAGUGGGAAAAGAUGAAAUUCUCGGAGAAAAUCAGCUGUGUGCAUAUGAAGAGAAAGUAUGAGGCCAUGACUAAACUAGGUUUCAACGUCACCCUCUCACUUUUCAUGCGUAAUAAACGGGCCACAGACUCUCAGAGGAAUGAUUCUGAUAAUGACCGUAACCGUGGGAAUGAGGUUGAACGUCCUCAGAUGACUUUUGGCAGGCUCCAGAGAAUCAUCCCGAAGAUCAUGCCCGAGAAGCCAGCAGAGGAAGGAAGUGAUUCGAAGGGAGUGCCAGAAGCAUCUGGCCCACAGAACGAUGGGAAAAAGCUGUGCCCGCCGGGAAAAGCAAGUAGCUCUGAGAAGAUUCACGAGAGAUCUGGACCCAAAAGGGGGAAACAUGCCUGGACCCACAGACUGCGUGAGAGAAAGCAGCUGGUGAUUUAUGAAGAGAUCAGCGACCCUGAGGAAGAUGACAAGUAACUCCAUAAGUGAACCUUCGGCUCACCCUCCACAUCCCUGCAGAUGUGCUAUUCUGUUAUGCCUCAGGGAUACGACACAUGCCCAUGAUGAGAAGCAGAACGUGGUGACCUUUCACGAACGUGGGCAUGGCUGCGGACCCCUCGUCAUCAGGUGUAUAGCAAGUGAAAGCAAGUGUUCACAACAGUGAAAAGUUGAGCGUCAUUUUUCUUAGUGUGCCAAGAGUUCGAUGUUGGCGUUUCCGUUGUAUUUUCUUGCAGUGUGCCAUUCUGUUAGACAUUAGCAUUUUCGUUGAUGAGCAAGACAUGCUUAAUGCAUAUUUCGGCUUGUGUAUCCAUGCACCUACCUCAGAAAACAAGUAUUGUCAGGUAUUCUCUCCAUAGAACAGCACUACCCUCCUCUCUCCCCAGAUGUGACUACUGAGGGGAGGUCUGAGUGUUUAAUUUCCGAUUUUUUCCUCUGCAUUUACACACACACCACACACGCACACACACACACCAAGUACCAGUAUAAGCAUCUCCCAUCUGCUUUUCUCCACUGCCAUGUGUCCUGGUCAAGCCCCCCUCACUCUGUUUCCUGUUCAGCAUGUACUCCCCUCAUCCGAUUCCCCUCUAUCAGUCACUGACAGUUAAUAAACCUUUGCAAACGUU